GAUGAACGCUAGCUAUAGGCUUAACACAUGCAAGUCGAGGGACCGGCGCACGGGUGAGUAACGCGUAUCCAACCUGCCCAUAACUAAGGGAUAACCCAGCGAAAGUUGAACUCAUACCUUAUGGUUAUGGAUGGGGAUGCGUGUGAUUAGCUUGUUGGCGGGGUAACGGCCAACCCAGGCAACGAUCAGUAGGGGUUCUGAGAGGAAGGGCCCCAACAUUGGAAACGAGACCCGGUCCAAACGCCUACGGGCGGUAGUAGUGAUGAACACUGGUUAAUGGACGCAAGUCUGACCCAGCCAAGUAGCUUGCAGGAUGAUGGCCUAUGGGUGGUAAUCUGCUUUUAUAUGGGGAUCGUUACCAGAUGAAUAAGGACCGGCUAAUUCCGUGCCAGCAGCCGCGGUAAUUC
rnacentral:rRNA from 1 species